AGAAAAGACAUAGAGACAAGCUUAAUUAGGAAUAGAUUGAGCAAAGGGUUUGACUACAUGAACCUUAUCCUGCUACAGAACUCAUGAACUGGGUUCCAGAAUUGAAACAAGAUUAUCCUUCUACGGACUCACUGGAGAAGGAGACGUGAACGUUUUUAAGGUGCAAAGCUCUUGAGAAUUGAGUUGGACUGAAAACCCAGCCUUAGCUUGCCAUGUUGCUGCUUGUUUUGUUGGACUACUCAUUUACCCCUGGAAAAGAGAUUUCUAGAGGCCCUGCACCAUCAGAACUAACUAGAAGAGGGCAGGGGGAAACUGAAUUCAGAAUCGUGUGAACAUAAGAUGAAGACUGAUAAAAUGGAUGAAGUAAUGAACUAUGAAGGAGGCAGUUCAUUCUUACAGAACAAAAGCCAGAAGAUCUUGCAGAUGGAUGCUUCCCACUGGAAUAUAAUGUCUUCUAGUAUCAGUCAUUAAUAAACAAUUUGACCAUUGGGACCAGUAAAUAUGAAUACUGCAGGAUUGUAUUUCCAAGAAUUAAAAAGAGUCUAUGAUGCUUCUGUCAC